rnacentral:rRNA from 1 species
AUUGAACGCUGGCGGCAUGCCUUACACAUGCAAGUCGAACGGUAACGGGCCUUCGGGUGCCGACGAGUGGCGCACGGGUGAGUAAUACAUCGGAACGUGCCCGAUCGUGGGGGAUAACGAGGCGAAAGCUUUGCUAAUACCGCAUACGAUCUACGGAUGAAAGCAGGGGACCGCAAGGCCUUGCGCGGACGGAGCGGCCGAUGGCAGAGUAGGUAGUUGGUGGGAUAAAAGCUUACCAAGCCGACGAUCUGUAGCUGGUCUGAGAGGAUGAGCAGCCACACUGGGACUGAGACACGGCCCAGACUCCAACGGGAGGCAGCGGUGGGGAAUUUGGACAAUGGGCGCAAGCCUGAUCCAGCCAUGCCGCGUGCAGGAUGAAGGCCUUCGGGUUGUAAACUGCUUUUGUACGGAACGAAAAGCCUUCUUUUAAUACAGGAGGGUCAUGACGGUACCGUAAGAAUAAGCACCGGCUAACUACGUG